GGUAGCGUGGCCGAGCGGUCCCAAGGCGUUGGUUUAAGGCACCAGUCUCUUCGGGGGCGUGGGUUCGAAUCCCACCGCUGCCA
rnacentral:tRNA from 1 species